rnacentral:rRNA from 1 species
CCUACGGGGCGCAGCAGUGAGGAAUAUUGGUCAAUGGACGAGAGUCUGAACCAGCCAAGUAGCGUGAAGGAUGACUGCCCUAUGGGUUGUAAACUUCUUUUAUAUGGGAAUAAAACGUUCCACGUGUGGGAUUUUGUAUGUACCAUAUGAAUAAGGAUCGGCUAACUCCGUGCCAGCAGCCGCGGUAAUACGGAGGAUCCGAGCGUUAUCCGGAUUUAUUGGGUUUAAAGGGAGCGUAGGUGGAUUGUUAAGUCAGUUGUGAAAGUGUGCGGCUCAACCGUAAAAUUGCAGUUGAAACUGGCAGUCUUGAGUACAGUAGAGGUGGGCGGAAUUCGUGGUGUAGCGGUGAAAUGCUUAGAUAUCACGAAGAACUCCGAUUGCGAAGGCAGUUCACUGGACUGCAACUGACACUGAGGCUCGAAAGUGUGGGUAUCAAACAGGAUUAGAUACCCCGGUAGUC